rnacentral:rRNA from 1 species
AUACGGAGGAUCCAAGCGUUAUCCGGAAUCAUUGGGUUUAAAGGGUCCGCAGGCGGUCAAUUAAGUCAGAGGUGAAAGCCCAUCGCUCAACGAUGGAACUGCCUUUGAUACUGGUUGACUUGAGUUAUACGGAAGUAGAUAGAAUAAGUAGUGUAGCGGUGAAAUGCAUAGAUAUUACUUAGAAUACCGAUUGCGAAGGCAGUCUACUACGUAUAUACUGACGCUGAGGGACGAAAGCGUGGGGAGCGAACAGGAGUAGAUACCCGGGUAGUCC